rnacentral:rRNA from 1 species
CACGUAGUUAGCCGUGACUUUCUAAGUAAUUACCGUCAAAUAAAGGCCAGUUACUACCUCUAUCUUUCUUCACUACCAACAGAGCUUUACGAACCGAAACCCUUCUUCACUCACGCGGCGUUGCUCCAUCAGACUUUCGUCCAUUGUGGAAGAUUCCCUACCGCUGCCUCCCGUAGGAGUUUGGGCCGUGUCUCAGUCCCAAUGUGGCCGAUCAGUCUCUCAACUCGGCUAUGCAUCAUUGCCUUGGUAAGCCGUUACCUUACCAACUAGCUAAUGCACCGCAGGUCCAUCCAAGAGUGAUAGCAGAACCAUCUUUCAAACUCUAGACAUGCGUCUAGUGUUGUUAUCCGGUAUUAGCAUCUUGUUCCGAGGUGUUAUCCCAGUCUCGUUGGGCACGGUUACCCACGUGUUACCUCCACCCGUCCGCCGCUCGUCUUGUAUCUUAGUUUCUAUUUUAGUGACUAAGCUAAAUAAAACUCAUACGUAAGGCAAGUCUACGCUCGACUU